AAGAUAACAUGCAGCACCUGUACACCCUUUCAAGAGAGUUCCAUUAUCACCAUCAUAGUUGUUCCCACAAGGCUUCCAUUUUAACAUUCCAUAUGUUUGUGUGGAAGCGGAAUUAGAUUGGGAACUAAAUAGAACGUUCAAACAUUGUUUCUGUUUUUCU